rnacentral:miRNA from 1 species
GAGGUGGGUGGGUCACUUGAGCCAGGGAAGUUGAGGCAGCAGUAAGCCGUGAUCACGCCACUGCACUCCAGCCUGAGUGACAGAGCAAGACCCUGUCUC